UCGAGGAUCUUCGGCAAUGGGCGCAAGCCUGACCGAGCGACGCCGCGUGUGCGAUGAAGGCCUUCGGGUUGUAAAGCACUGUCGAGGGGGAGGAAAGCCCGCAAGGGCCUGACCUAUCCCUGGAGGAAGCACGGGCUAAGUUCGUGCCAGCAGCCGCGGUAAGACGAACCGUGCGAACGUUGUUCGGAUUCACUGGGCUUAAAGGGCGCGUAGGCGGACCGGCAAGUCAGGGGUGAAAUCUUUCAGCCCAACUGGAAAACAGCCUUUGAUACUGCCGGCCUGGAGGGGGGUAGGGGUGCGUGGAACUCAGGGUGGAGCGGUGAAAUGCGUAGAUAUCCCGAGGAACGCCGGUGGCGAAAGCGACGCACUGGACCUUUCCUGACGCUGAGGCGCGAAAGCCAGGGGAGCAAACGGGAUUAGAUACCCCCGUAGUCC
rnacentral:rRNA from 1 species